GAUGAACGCUGGCGGCGUGCUUAACACAUGCAAGUCGAGCGAAGCACUUUUGCGGAUUUCUUCGGAUUGAAGCAACUGUGACUGAGCGGCGACGGGUGAGGUACGCUGGUAACUGCCUCAUACAGGGGGAUAACAGUUGGAAACGACUGCUAAUACCGCAUAAGCGCACAGUACCGCAUGGUACGGUGUGAAAAACUCCGGUGGUAUGAGAUGGACCCGCGUCUGAUUAGGUAGUUGGUGGGGUAACGGCCUACCAAGCCGACGAUCAGUAGCCGACCUGAGAGGGUGACCGGCCACAUUGGGACUGAGACACGGCCCAG
rnacentral:rRNA from 1 species